rnacentral:rRNA from 1 species
UCAGCUCGUGUCGUGAGAUGUUGGGUUAAGUCCGCAACGAGCGCAACCCCUAUUGUUAGUUGCCAUCAUUCAGUUGGGCACUCUAGCGAGACUGCCGGUAAUAAACCGGAGGAAGGUGGGGAUGACGUCAAAUCAUCAUGCCCCUUAUGACCUGGGCUACACACGUGCUACAAUGGUUGGCACAACGAGUUGCGAGUCGGUGACGGCGAGCUAAUCUCUUAAAGCCAAUCUCAGUUCGGAUUGUAGGCUGCAACUCGCCUACAUGAAGUCGGAAUCGCUAGUAAUCGUGAAUCAGAAUGUCACGGUGAAUACGUUCCCGGGCCUU